rnacentral:tRNA from 1 species
GCGGGAAUAGCUCAGUUGGUAGAAGCGACCUUGCCAAGGUCGGGGUCGCGAGUUCGAGUCUCGUUUCCCGCUCCA